rnacentral:lncRNA from 12 species
CUACCACAUUCACUUUAUGCACAGACAGGAUACCAAAUUUAUUCUGUCAAAGUAAUCUCUUUCCUUUUAGACUCUGUCCAUAUUAUCCACCUUUGCAAACUCCAAAUGUUCUUUCACUAUGUUGUUGGUUUCUGCCCCUGUGGCCAAAGUUCCCCUCACCUGUGCUCCUGCUCACUCUGGGUGCUUCUUCCUUUCCUGUGGUUUGUACAACUAUCCUCCCUUUUAAGUUUAUUCUUCUAUUUUUUUUUUUUUUUUUUUAGUAAUCUCUACACAUAACAUGGGGCUCUAAGUCACGACCCCAAGAUCCAAUCGCACGCUUUUCCAAGUCAGUCAGCCAGCUGUUUUGUGUCCUCUUCCCCUCCAGACCUCUUGUCCUGAUCCUGCAAAAAAGCACACUAAGGAUGUAGUGGAUAGUGGGCAAAUGUAGAGGACCAGGAAAACAGGAUGUGCCAUGAUGAAAUCUCCGAUCUUGAGAGCAUUCUUUCUUUGAGAAAAUGACCAGAAUGGGCCCUUUGUUACAUGCAUCUGAAGCAAUCACCUGCCUCUUGUUUGGGGAAACCUUGAUGUCACUACUAUUGUCUUCAAAGCAGAUGCUUCCCAUGAGUUACUCCGAAUUAUCCACAAGCAUUUUAACCACAGCUACAUUCUCUUCUCAGACUGGUCUGAUCCUCCUCUUCCAAGAAAGCUAUGCCUCCCCCUCUACCAUUUGGUGGUGGUGGGGGGAGGUCCCCAUCCUCUGAAUCACGACCGCGUUUAAGAUCUGGACCCCCCUCAUCCAACACACAGGAGAAAACCCUGGAGGACACCUAUUUUGCUGCAAACACAUGUAUCUGGAUUCCCCAGGAGCACGUUAGGAAUGGAGAAGCUUGGGUUCCACCCAGACCUGCUGAGCCGGAAUCUGUAUCUUAAGAUGCUCUGUGAGUGGGAUGCACAGUAGAUUCGAGAAGCACACUCUUGCAGGUUUAGAGCUGGGUGUGGGCCCUCAAGAGCUAAUUGUCAAACCAGUGAAUGACUCCUUAUCUCUCUGGUGCAUAUUUCAUCCUCUCUGGGCUGGCUUCUGUUCGUGGUCAUAGAAUGCAAACUAUCAUCAGCAUUCAUUAUUUGUCUCCCCAGGCCCACUUAGUUCUCUAUAAAACAAUCAAUAUUUUGAUAUGACUCAUAGGAUGCUUAAUCUGAAUUUCUGAUUCAAACAUAAACACUUGAUUUUCUGCUGUUUUGGAUUCUCUGUGUCAUUGUUUUAACAACUCAAGGACAUUGGGCAUUAUCAUCAGUUAAAUGCGAACUUUCUGUAUUUUUAAAAGGGAGCAUUAGAGAAUGUUAACCAUGAAGGGGAGCUUAGGAGUCAUUAAGAUCAGCCUCCCCACUUGGCAGAUGAGGAAACUGAGUCAUGGUAGAGUCAAAGACUUAGACAAGUCCACGCAUGUCAGAGUGUCAGGAACCCAUACCUUUGGGCUCUGGUAUGUGUGUUCUGUGCCACC